CCCUUGUUGUUUUCUGUUCCCUUUUUCCAAAAUACAUAAAUCCUACUGAAGUUUAUCUAUUUUUUCCCACUUCAGAACACCAGGCACUGAUUUAUCCAUUGGGAGUCUUGGCUUGCUUUUUAAUACCUAUAUUAAAAAACAAAAUAAGAG